UGCGGCCCUGGGAUACUAUUCCAAGGGCUAUGCCGGUCUGA
rnacentral:rRNA from 1 species